AACGAACGCUGGCGGCAUGCCUAACACAUGCAAGUCGAACGAGACCUUCGGGUCUAGUGGCGCACGGGUGCGUAACGCGUGGGAACCUGCCCUUAGGUUCGGAAUAACUCCCCGAAAGGGGUGCUAAUACCGGAUAAUGUCUUCGGACCAAAGAUUUAUCGCCUUUGGAUGGGCCCGCGUUGGAUUAGCUAGUUGGUAGGGUAAAAGCCUACCAAGGCGACGAUCCAUAGCUGGUCUGAGAGGAUGAUCAACCACACUGGGACUGAGACACGGCCCAGACUCCUACGGGAGGCAGCAGUGGGGAAUAUUGGACAAUGGGCGAAAGCCUGAUCCAGCAAUGCCGCGUGAGUGAUGAAGGCCUUAGGGUUGUAAAGCUCUUUUAACCGGGAUGAUAAUGACAGUACCGGGAGAAUAAGCUCCGGCUAACUCCGUG
rnacentral:rRNA from 1 species